rnacentral:lncRNA from 1 species
GAAAGGCUAAGGAAUCUUUUCGAGACUUAUAUCAAAAUUCACAGCGACUAAUAGGGUCACAUAAAAGAAACUUAAACCGGGGUCCAACAACACAAAAACAUCAAAACAAAAGAUACGAAGCAUACCAGUAACAAUAUCGAGAGAAUCCUCCUGCUCCUAAUGGGAAAAUAAGACAUAGAAUCUAUUUUGGCACUGAACGCUAGCAGUACUGGAUGAAGUGCCCUGAGUAGGGGGGGACGGGCUACAGGAGUUGGUGUACUAGUAGUCUGUGUCUGAGGUCAGGCACCUCUAUUCUCUUU